GCUGACCUCCCUCUUGAUUAGUGCAGGGGAAAAGCACUUUAAAAAGCUGUGUCAUGCGUAACUUGCACAUCUUCUGAUUCUGACCUGAAACUGCAUCCCAGGUCGGCACAGACGCAACCCAGUCUCCUCCCACCUCCGAGAGUGCAGUGUCCUGAAUGGAGAACCCCAGCACCCAGAAGCAUCCACUGAAGGACGUGUGUCCUGGAACCCUGGCUGCACCCACAGAUACAGCCACUCCUGGGCCCAUGUGGAUGUAACCUUCGAGUGCCGGAAUGCCUCGUCUCCAUGGAGACCAAACUCAAGGGCCUGACUGGCCCAGUCUACCGAGACCAUG
ensembl:lncRNA NOP14-AS1 NOP14 antisense RNA 1